rnacentral:tRNA from 1 species
GGGGCUGUAGCUCAGUGGUAGAGCGCUUGUCUAGCAUGUGUGAGGCCCUAGGUUCAAUUCUCAGCACCA